rnacentral:misc_RNA from 1 species
GAUGAAGAACGCAGCGAAAUGCGAUAAGUAAUGUGAAUUGCAGAAUUCAGUGAAUCAUCGAAUCUUUGAACGCACAUUGCGCCCGCCAGUAUUCUGGCGGGCAUGCCUGUUCGAGCGUCAUUUCAACCAUCAAGCCCCCGGCUUGUGUUGGGGACCUGAGGCUGCCGCAGGCCCUGAAAACCAGUGGCGGGCUCGCUAGUCACUCCGAGCGUAGUAAUACAUCUCGCUCAGGGCGUGCUGCGGGUUCCGGCCGUUAAAAGCCUUAUUUUACCCAAGGUUGACCUCGGAUCAGGUAGGAAGACCCGCUGAACUUAAGCAUAUCAAUAAGCGGAGGA